rnacentral:rRNA from 1 species
UACGUAGGGGGCAAGCGUUGUCCGGAUUUAUUGGGCGUAAAGAGCGUGUAGGCGGCCUGACAGGUCUGCUGUGAAAACUCGAGGCUCAACCUCGAGAUGUCGGCGGAAACCGUCUGGCUAGAGUCCGGAAGAGGAGAGUGGAAUUCCUGGUGUAGCGGUGAAAUGCGCAGAUAUCAGGAAGAACACCUAUGGCGAAGGCAGCUCUCUGGGACGGUACUGACGCUGAUACGCGAAAGCGUGGGGAGCGAACAGG